rnacentral:rRNA from 1 species
UACAGAGGGUGCUAGGCGUUGCUCGGAAUACUGGGCGUGAAAGCGCACGUAGGCGGAUGUUAAGUCGGGGUGAAAUCCGGGCUCAACUCCAGAACUGCCUUUGAUACUGGCGAUCUUGAGUCCGGGAGAGGUGAGUGGAACUGCGAGUGUAGAGGUGAAAUUCGUAGAUAUUCGCAAGAACACCAGUGGCGAAGGCGGCUCACUGGCCCGGUACUGACGCUGAGGUGCGAAAGCGUGGGGAGCAAACAGG